AUCAACAAACACUGGUAGUUUCAUAUCUACAUCCAUAACACCAGUGAAGCCAACACAAGGUCGAACGCCUCAUAAGUCUAGCACUAAAGCUAUUUUCCCACCUGUGACCCAAGUGAACCCAUCAUCAGAAACAAGGAAAAGGAAGUUGGUAAUAGUUGCGGCUUCUCUUGGAGGUGUUAUCUUAUUCGGACUGGCAUUUCUGUUCACCAAAAGAACUGAUGCCUGUGGAUAUAAGGGAAAGCUCAGCAGUGGAGAGUACUUACCGAGUGGUUAUGAUGAGACGUACAGCAUCGUCACUUAUGAAUGCAGCCACAUUGAAUGACAAACGCUAACCACAGCGUCUCAAGAGGAACCAUCUGCAUCAGACCACAGAGAUAAUGUGUGCAGCAUUUGAAAAACAUUUUGAAGUUAUAGAAUUGUGUUUCUCAUUAAAAUUUGAGAUGGGUCAAACACAAGUUGGAUUUUUGCAGUUAAGUGUUGUUUUAUACUAAUUAAUAUACUACAUACAUAUUAAUCCAUGUUAGCCUUCUCCUAAUCAAUACAUUAAACAUUUUAGCUUUUAUAUCUUUAACAUGUUAGAAAAUGGAUGAAGAGUCUCAAAGGGUUCAGGUUACAGGGGGAGAAUAAGUUAAUCAGUUGUUUGUUUUAGUUUUAUUUCAACUGAGGCAGAAGAAGUAAAAAAGUUCAUGGAAAAAGUGGGGGCCUUGACUUUACUUCAAUACCAACUAGAACAAAAAACACAGCCUGUGCAGCAUAACACUGGACAUAUGAAGUGAAAUAUGGAUUGCAGAGUUGUAUGUUCAGGACAAAAAUGAAUUAACUUCAUGUUUGAUUCAAGCAGAACAUGAACAAGCUAAGUGUUUCUGUAAAGUUGUGAGCAGCGUGUGAACACAUGAUGAACAGACUCUUUCAUUUUCUUCUGGAACUGUGAGCUGACGCUUUGGUAGAUCUGAUAUAAAUACAUAACAUGUUCUAAGUUUUUAAUAAAUUGUGUUUAAUCAAGUA